UAAUGACACUCUCGUGCUAGCUUUUCAAGUUGCUACCGCUGUGGUUGCUGAAGAAGAAUCGAAUAAUCAAGGGCGGAGAACAGGGUAUCGUGGCUCUAUUCUUGGUCAUAAUAUUGUCAAUCGUAAUAGAAAAUAAGUGGAAGCUUAUAAUCCAUAUUUCAAACAAAGGACAGAUGCUCUUAGUGUUUUUGGUUUAUCUUGCCUUCAAAAGGUAACUGCAGCUCAUAAAAUACUUGCAUAUGGUAUUCAUGGAGAUCUUACUAAUAAAUAUCUUCGAAUUAGAGAAAUCACUGCGAUAGAAAGUUUUAGAGCUUUCGUCAAAACAAUCGUAAAGGUUUUUGGUGAUUGGUAUCUAAGAGCACCAAACGAGGCUGAUAUUUGUCGAUUAUUAUCAAUUGGAGAGCAACGUGGAUUUCCAAGGAUGUUAGGGAGCAUUGACUGUAUGCAUUAGAAAUGAGAGAAAUGUCCAAUUGCAUGGCAUGAGAUGUGUACUGGUCAUUGUCGUGAACCAACUAUAAUUCUAGAGGCGGUGGCUUCACAAGAUCUUUGGAUAUGACAUGUCUUUUUUUGAAUGCCUAGAUCAUUAGAUGAUAUUAAUGUUCUUGAUCGGUCACCUAUCUUUGCUGCACCUGCUGAAGGUCGUAUUGUUCCUGUCAAUUAUACAAUUAAUGGACAUGAAUAUACAAUAAGAUAUUAUUUAG